rnacentral:rRNA from 1 species
AGCAGCCGCGGUAAUUCCAGCUCCAAUAGCGUAUAUUAAAGUUGUUGCAGUUAAAAAGCUCGUAGUUGAAUUUCGGGGUUAGUAGGUUGGUCAUGCCUCUGGUAUGUACUGGUCUCACUGAUUCCUCCUUCCUGAUGAACCUUAAUGCCAUUAAUUUGGUGUUUUGGGGAAUUUGGACUGUUACUUUGAAAAAAUUAGAGUGUUUAAAGCAAGCUAACGCUUGAAUACAUUAGCAUGGAAUAAUGAAAUAGGACGUUCGAUCCUAUUUUGUUGGUUUCUAGGAUUGACGUAAUGAUUAAUAGGGAUAGUUGGGGGCAUUAGUAUUCAAUUGUCAGAGGUGAAAUUCUUGGAUUUAUUGAAGACUAACUACUGCGAAAGCAUUUGUCAAGGAUGUUUUCAUUAAUCAAGAACGAAAGUUAGGGGAUCGAAGACGAUCAGAUACCGUCGUAAUCUUAACCAUAAACUAUGCUGACUAGGGAUCGGAUGAUGUUAAUUUUUUAAUGACUCAUUCGGCGCCUUACG